UACGUAGGGUGCGAGCGUUGUCCGGAAUUAUUGGGCGUAAAGAGCUCGUAGGCGGUCUGUCGCGUCGAUCGUGAAAACUUGGGGCUUAACCCUGAGCUUGCGGUCGAUACGGGCAUGACUGGAGUUCGGCAGGGGAGACUGGAAUUCCUGGUGUAGCGGUGAAAUGCGCAGAUAUCAGGAGGAACACCGGUGGCGAAGGCGACUUCCUGGCCUGUUCUUGACGCUGAGGCGCGAAAGCUAGGGGAGCAAACGGG
rnacentral:rRNA from 1 species